GACGAACCGUGCGAACGUUGUUCGGAAUCACUGGGCGUAAAGCGCACGUAGGCGGACUGUUAAGUCGGGGGUGAAAUCCUGGGGCUCAACCUCAGAAUUGCCUCCGAUACUGGCAGUCUCGAGUGCGGGAGAGGUGAGUGGAAUUCCCAGUGUAGAGGUGAAAUUCGUAGAUAUUGGGAAGAACACCAGUGGCGAAGGCGGCUCACUGGCCCGUAACUGACGCUGAGGUGCGAAAGCGUGGGGAGCAAACAGG
rnacentral:rRNA from 1 species